rfam:Desulfotomaculum sp. 46_296 MPI_scaffold_2426, whole genome shotgun sequence.
CCGUGCUAGAUGGGGAGGUAGCGGUGCCCUGAACCCGCAACCCGCUAUAGCGGGGUUGAAUUCCUGCCGGAGGGUAUGACUUGUGGGGUCCGGCCUGUUUACGAGGAGCGAUGACGGUUGGGUCUUGCGCGGCGGAGACUUUUGAACCGUGUCAGGUCUUGACGGAAG